rnacentral:rRNA from 2 species
UCCGGUGGCUAUAGCGUAAGGGAUCCACCUCUUCCCAUUCCGAACAGAGAAGUUAAGCCUUAUUGCGCCGAUGGUACUGCCCCAAGCGGGUGGGAGAGUAGGACGUUGCCGGAU